ACUCGAAAAAGCGAGCCGGCUUGGAGGAAGUCCGCCCAGCGAUCCGAGUGCGCAUUGAUCAGUGUCGAGAGAAAAAAAAGCUACAUAAAUAUAUAUUAUCCACGACGCCGCCAAGCUCUCCAGCGCCGGAGGAGGCCCCGAGGUUCGCUGCCCCAGGCCCGGAGUCCAGCCAGGACACCUCUCCCUGACGAUCCCGAGCCCAACCCUAACAGCAAGUACAGUUCUGAGAAUUGUGGAACUUCAUCCUUUCAGUUUAAGACACUCCUGCCUUUGCUUGAUGGAAUCUUGUGACACAUCAGCAGAGGCCAAUAACUUUGUUCAAAACCUCACUUCCAACAUUAUCCUGUGGCGCUGAUACUUACUCCCAGAAUCACACAACAGAAUGGAAUGUAUUUUCUGCCAUAAAAGGGGAGUUUAGGAGAGUGAUUCCUUCUUGAAGCCUCUUUUUCUCCUUGCCUCCCCCACCUGCCAAAGUGAAAUGAGGACCAGCGGAAGUAAUGAAACUGAGCUGAGGAGGGCUGGGGAAAGAAGGGCCUGCACAGAAGAGGGGACUGAGGUUCACGGUCCACUUCUUUCUGACCCUCAGCCCCUUCCCUCCAGGUUCAAAUAAAUUAUUCAUAGGCAUUUCAUUAUUCAUAUUUUAUUAUUAAUAAUAAUAGCCAAUACAUAAAUAAAAGCAGCCCCUGGGCAGGAGUGAGUUGGGGCAUGGAGUUGUUACUGAAAGGGGAACGUCUGGUUAUUUCAGAGGCUUGCAAAGACUCCUUGCUUCGUGCUUUUCUGCGCAUCUGCCUCCUUCACCCUGGUUCCUCUUCACAUCCGGACCCUGGACCUGAAGCUAUGAAGAGCCUCUUCUUCCCUAAGGAAGCAACAGAAAAAGGACAGGCCUGGGAAGACCCAGCUAUCUUGUUAGAAAGACCAAAGUCAUCCCAAGUGAAAAGCCCCAGAACAGCAAACGGCAACAGAUGGUUAAAUAUCUUCCUGGCCGAGGAGUUCCACAUCCACACGAGGGAAAACAGAAGACGAUCCUGA
rnacentral:lncRNA from 1 species